UAUAAUCUAUGCAACUGGUAUAUAUAUCGUUGUAUUUAAUUUAAAAACAUAUUAAGUAUUAAUAUGAAAUAUUUAAAAAAAACUGGAAAAAGAGAAAAUGCCACUAAAAAAUAAGAACGAAAAUAUGGGCGAUAAUUAAUUAAUCAAGCAUACUAUAACAGUUUUAAUACAUAUUAAAGUUAAUAUAAUAUUAUUGUUUAUUUUUAAAAUUUAAAUUUGAAAUCGUUAAAAUAAGUGAAAUUGAAAACUAAUAAAUUAUAAUAAAUCACCAGUGUACAAUAUCUCCACUCCCCCCCACCCCUAUUCCUAAAUAUUCCACUAUUUUGUAUUAUAUAACAAUUUUCAACUUUUUAAAAUUAAAUGUUGUUAAAUUUAUAAAAAUAUCUUGCACAAGGUAACAAAAUGUCAAUCUAUAUUUUAGAAUGUAUUGGUUUUACUGUUUUAUUAUUUUGAGCGGAGCGAGUAAUGUGUUUGUUCCGCAACGAUAUUUAUUUAUUUUUGUUAUUAUUACUUCUUUUUAACUUUGUACAAAAAUUCCACCAGAAAUCUUGCCCCGAUAUAUCAAGUAUAGCAUCUGUUCCGAAAGGGAAUUUUAUCUAUUAAGUACUUAAAAUACUAUUUAGUAUUUAGAAGGUAAUUUUUUGCUAUUUUCAUAAUAAUUGGAAAUAACUGGAAAUAAAUAUAGAAAAAACGGGAAAAUUUACAAAAAUAAUGCUAUUAUUAUUUUAAAUAUUGUUUUUUUUGCUGUUGUAAUUCAGUUGAAAAUAUUCGUAGAGUACGUAGCGGAUAAAAUUGUAAGACAAAACAAAAAUAAUGCUUAAAAAUUUAACAGGAGAUUAAAUAGUUAAUUUAGUAUAUGGCCUUAUAAAACACGUAUUACCGAAUCCCGCUCAGAAUCGUUUUUCAGUAGCAAUAAUAAAGAUACACAUUAAAUUUCUCUCUACUCCUAUCUUCUGAACUUCUCACCUUCAUCAGUGGCCCAUCCAUUGUGCGAAGAAUGUCCGUCUUUUUAUUUUGUUUUCUAUCUGUAAAUAAACUUUCUAUCAAACAACUCGCCCCAAUCAAUAGAUGAUUAGAGUCCUUAAUGAUUGAAUUUUGGUGCAUUUUGGUGGUCAGUUUUUGAUUUUCCAGACAAUUUUCAUAAUAAUUGAAUAAACAUAGUGAACAGCUGACAAAUUUACGGCAUUUGGGAUUUCAUUAUUUUAAAUAUUAUCAAAUUCCGUUUUCUAUAUCUAUUUAAGUGCAGCUAUUUUUACGAGUAAAAAAAAUGUCUAGUUUGAGUUCAAAACAAUCGCUUUUUUGAAUUUCUGUGAAGUUUUCAUAAUAAUUCCGAAGAGACCCAAAACAAGUUUACGGCAAUAACGGUUUUAUUAUUUUUGUUUUUUUUGUUGUAAUUAAAAAUAGUCGUAAAGACCGACAAUUUAUUAAAUUUCUUUUGUUCUAAGUGUGGUAAAUGUUCAAAAUAUUCACGCGAUUUUCAAGUAGACAUUUUCUUAUAGGAAUUUGACAUUUUCGAGUUUUUUAGUGUUUAUCUGAUAUUUAGUAUUAUGUGAAUACAAUUAUUUCACCAAAUAGAAAUAUUUAAAAAGUUAAAACAAGGUUCGUUGUAAAUCGUAAAAAAUUAUGGUAUUUUAAAGUAUGAAGAACUUCAUACAGAUUCUUUUUUACGUUAAUAAUGGUUUAUUAUUGGGUAAAGAUAUAAACUAAGGAACUAAACGUAUUUUACCUCCUUAAUUUCCUAAUCUACAAUAGUUGUAAACCCAUUCCCUGUAUCAGCUUUUUUUUUUAUUAAUAUAAUAAUAUUUUUAAAAAUAAAAAUUAAUUUGUUUUGUCAUAUUUUUACCAAUUAUUAUAUUAUUCAAAUCAUAAAUUUAAUAUCGUCAAGUAUAACGAAGCAUAUAUAUUUUAGAAAAAAAAUAUAUAGCGUUAUCUAUAGUAUCCAUUUAGUUUAUUGUUCUUGAAUGAUUGCAAAAAAAUAUCUUUUUUAAACUAUAAUGGAAUUGAAUUCACUAUAUUUGUUUUGCUCAUAUCGACAUUCGCUGAUCGAUUUUGAUAAGAUCUCAAAAAUAAAAAAAACAGAUAGCUGCAGAAGAAAAUCGUAAAUACGUCACUGCUGGCCCUGGAUUCAAAUUUUACAUCUAAGCGUCCAGGAUUUAUCACAAAUCAUAUGAUAAACAAUGUUGUGUUCACGGUAGAAUUACAUUUCAGCAUCGCGAGAUACCUAUGUACUUAUCAGAUAACUUAAUUACCAGUAACUAAUUAUUAAUUUAUUAUAUUAUGCAUUUAUUGCAUUAUAAAAUUGAAAAGACAUGGCUCUCGUAUUUAAAAUGCAUAAUAUCGAUAAAUACCGAUAUUCGAUAAUAUUAUUAUGUUAUCGCAGAAUGUUGUUGGAACUUAGUAUUUAAAAAAAAAAAUGUGCUGUGCUCCGAAUCGGAAGAAAAACAUCGGACACCCGUACACAUAGGCAUAAUCUUCCAACAAAUGCACAAUUUGUUUUUGUUGAUAUUUGUUUUGAAUAAUUUGUUUGAUCAAAGUAAUACAUUUAAGAAUUUAUUGUAUUUAUGUUAUUUAAUGCCUUUUGAAAAUAAUAAUAUACCUAUUUGUGAUGUAUCUACCUAUACACGUGUAUUAUAUUCAAAUGGAAUCCGUUUUAAUUAUUGUAAAUAUAAAUUCUUCAUUACAUUUUGGUAUUUUUCACUGUACCGGUUUAUUAUAAUAUUACGUUUAUUAUCCAAUAAUAGUAAUAUCGAUACUUGAUUUAUUUAAUAUAAAAGUUAUACUUGUAUUGUUAAAAAGUUGUUUUUUUUUUUUUUAAUUUAUUCCAUAUUUUUAAAACGAAAUAAAAUUG